AGGGGUAAGUGUCACAUAAAAGAUAUAUGAAGUAAUGAAUAGUGACAAAGAUAAUUAAUCUGAUCAUAACUUAGCCACAUAUAAAUAUGAUAAGCACCUCAAUUAGAUACUCUAGAAAGUCAUUAGCAUAGAAUUAGAACGAACUACAAGAAUAUUUCAUAAGUUUUUCUCAACUAUAUAGUCUAGCAUUAUCAUAGUUAGUGCAAGCAUACUUAGUAAUCAUUGCGAGACAAGACUACGCCCAUGCAUAGUGAUAUUAGCAAGGUAAAUGAGAAACAUAGCAAUCACUCCCCUAUAAUAAUAUUGCUCUGCUAGCCCAAUACACGAGAGGGGGACUAUAUAAGAAUCAAUGAAGCUGUCACUAUCACGAACUACCCCACGAUCUUGCAUAUUGGGUACAAUCGCAGAUAAAUACAGUAUAAGCACCACGCCUACACAAUAUCUAUCAUUUACCCAUGGAUCCGAUGGAUAAACGCUAUACGAUCCUAAGCAUGUAUAUAGAUCCAAUCUAACUAAGCCAAGU
rnacentral:lncRNA from 1 species